CUGCCUUCUGUGAUUUCUGCCGGGCAUCCCUGCGGGUGAGUAACUGCCCUCGCAGGGGUGACGAUGACAACACAGGUGCCUCCUCUAUAAAGAGAAAUGUUAUAUAUAGGGUCCUCGCUGGACCCAGGCAAGAAGAACAGUGGCUGCCGCUGCUGCCUUCUGUGAUUUUUGUUGGGCAUCCCUACGGGUGAGGAACUGCCCUGGCAGGGGUGACGACGACAACACAGGUGCCUCCUCUAUCUAUCUAUAUUGAUGGUUUCGGCACUCACGGGUCUUCCUGUUUAUGUUAGAGAUGAACGCUGUGCAUCACAAAAAGGGAAAAAUCCCUCCAGCUGUGUUGAUAUUACUCCAUUUGUGGCCAAGCGCUGAACGGGAUCCGCUUGGCCGGGAGGGGGAUUUGUGUGCACAUGGAUCCUGUUCUGCUGGAUUCUGCAGAACAGAAUCCGGCCAGUGACACACGGGAUUUCAGUGGAACACAGUGCGGCAUAGCUGCACUGUUUGAACACAUACAUUGAAAUGUAUGUGUUCUCUUGGAAAUUCCGCCAUCCGAAUCAGGUUGAAGCCGCCGGCGGCGGAACCGCCGCACAUGUGUGUAUCAAGAAACAUGUGUGAGUGCCGGUCAUGAAAUAAGCAUUAUAAUUACCUUAAGUACAGAAGGGGAAAGCCCGCCAAAACCGAGAGAGUGGGAAAGUGGGUGUCCAGCCAGUCCCCAUCUAAUGACUGCACUACUGUGUUGCAUAAUGUGUAUAAUGGGUACUACUAUGUAGCAUAGGGGUAUAUGCAAUUGCGGUCGAAUUGCCGCAAAUGUCGAAAAACGGGGCAUUUUCGACAAAAAAAACCUGUCGAAUUGGAUUCGACAAUGCAAUACAGUACUUUUCGUCAAAAUACCUGCCGUUUCAGAUUUGACUUUUUUCAAAUCGACAUUUUCAAAAUUCAACAUGUCUGCAAUGUUCUAAAUGCGGCUUUUCGACAAAAGUAUAUUCAAUUGAAGAAUGUCGAUUCGACAACAGUGCUUUUCGACAGUAAUUUCGUCAAUUUCAUUCCGCCUCACUUUGCUGGCGAGAGCUGAUUAAAAAUUUUGAAAACAUAUAUUUUUUUUAGCUUUUUGGAUUGAUAAUAGCAUGUCUAUUUAUAUUUGAAGGGAUUAUCUACUUGGUUUGUCAAUUUUUGACCCACAAGUAUUAUUUAAUAGAUUUUUAAAAAGAAUAUUUUUUUCUUCACUCUGCUGAGGGGAAUGUACCCAUGAUUCAACAGUUUUACCCAGGAUACACUUCUGCAAAGCCACUCCAGUAUUGGACCAGUUUACCCCACUCUACCAUGGACGUCCUACUUGUGAUGUGGACCUGAACCACCGCCAUGUUAGAGUCACUCUUUCAGAGGUCUUGCGGAGUAUCCUUCCCGAUUUGCAGGAACCAGCCUGGAUUUGAAGGGACACGACAGUUCCCCUGCUGUACCAUGGGCAACCUAGUUGUGAUGUGGACCUGAACCUCCGCCAUGUAGCAGACACCCCCCCUCAGGUCUUGCGGAGUAUCCUUCCCAAGGUGCAGGAACCAGCGUGGAUGAAGUGACAGGACAGUUCCCGUGCUGUACCAUGGGCGACAUACUUGUGAUGUGGACCUGAACCUCCGCCAUGUAGCAGACACCCCCCCUCAGGUCUUGCGGAGUAUCCUUCCCGAUUUGCAGGAAACAGCAUGGAUGUCAAGGGACACGACAGUUCCCCUGCUGUACCAUGGGCGACCUACCACAAUACCACUGCAUCUCUGAAAUGCCAUAUUUUACAUUUUAUUUACUAAUAAUUUAAAGAAAAACCACACAAAACUUCUAAUUUUAAAAAUUUAUUGAAGAAUUAAAAUUGUAUUUUAUUUUGGAUUAAAAAAUAAAAUGUAAUAAAACAAAAAAAGUAGUGUUUGUUCUUCUUUACAUUCUUUUCUUGUGUAGAGAUCUGUGAAAAAAAAAAAUUCCAUAUUCAGUAAAGACACUAAUGAUGUCAUGUUCAUUCCUUUCCCAAGAACAUUUGUGGAACCACACAGUCCAGCAUGACCCAUUGCUGGACUGUGUUGUUCCCCAGGGUCAGACAAAUAUAAAACAAUAGUAAGAGAAAAAAAACUAAUGGG